GAUGAACGCUAGCGGCAGGCCUAAUACAUGCAAGUCGAACGGGAUCCAGAUCAAAGCUUGCUUUGGUCUGGUGAGAGUGGCGCACGGGUGCGUAACGCGUGAGCAACCUACCCUUGUCAGGGGGAUAGCCCGGCGAAAGUCGGAUUAAUACCGCAUGACAUCAUUGAGAGGCAUCUUUCGAUGAUCAAAGAUUUAUCGGACAAGGAUGGGCUCGCGUGACAUUAGCUCGUUGGUAAGGUAACGGCUUACCAAGGCUGCGAUGUCUAGGGGCUCUGAGAGGAGAAUCCCCCACACUGGUACUGAGACACGGACCAGACUCCUACGGGAGGCAGCAGUAAGGAAUAUUGGUCAAUGGGCGGAAGUCUGAACCAGCCAUGCCGCGUGCAGGAGGACGGCCCUAUGGGUUGUAAACUGCUUUUAUACGGGAACAAACGUCGGUACGUGUACCGGUCUGAGUGUACCGUAAGAAUAAGGAUCGGCUAACUCCGUG
rnacentral:rRNA from 1 species